rnacentral:tRNA from 1 species
GUGGCUAUGUCAGAAUGAUAUGAGUUAGUUUUAAGCGCUAAAUAUGGAAUUAUUCCUAGCCACU